rnacentral:rRNA from 1 species
CGCUGGCGGCACGCCUAAUACAUGCAAGUCGAACGAAGUAGCAAUACUUAGUGGCAGACGGGUGAGUAACAUGUAGGUAUCUACCCUUUGGCCUGGAAUAACACGAGGAAACUUGUGCUAAUACCGGAUAAGUCUUUACGGAGAAAGCUUUAUGCACCAUUGGAUGAGCCUGCACUUGAUUAGUUUGUUGGUAGGGUAAUGGCCUACCAAGACUUUGAUCAAUAGCUGAUUUGAGAGGAUGAUCAGCCACAUUGGGACUGAGACACGGCCCAAACUCCUACGGGAGGCAGCAGUAGGGAAUCUUGCACAAUGGAGGAAACUCUGAUGCAGCGAUGCCGCGUGAGUGAAGAAGGCCUUUGGGUUGUAAAGCUCUUUCGUCGGGGAAGAAAAUGACUGUACCCGAAUAAGAAGGUCCGGCUAACUUCGUGCCAGCAGCCGCGGUAAUACGAAGGGACCUAGCGUAGUUCGGAAUUACUGGGCUUAAAGAGUUCGUAGGUGGUUGAAAAAGUUGGUGGUGAAAUCCCAGAGCUUAACUCUGGAACUGCCAUCAAAACUUUUCAGCUAGAGUUUGAUAGAGGAAAGCAGAAUUUCUAGUGUAGAGGUGAAAUUCGUAGAUAUUAGAAAGAAUACCAAUUGCGAAGGCAGCUUUCUGGAUCAUUACUGACACUGAGGAACGAAAGCAUGGGUAGCGAAGAGGAUUAGAUACCCUCGUAGUCCAUGCCGUAAACGAUGUGUGUUAGACGUUGGAAAUUUAUUUUCAGUGUCGCAGCGAAAGCAAUAAACACACCGCCUGGGGAGUACGACCGCA